rnacentral:lncRNA from 1 species
CCUGGCCUUUACAAAACGAUACCAUUCAGUUGUCACACGAGUCCUUUAUCACUUCUGUGACAUGAGUUUGAUAACAGCUUGUACAAUUUUCUGCAGUCUAAAGUUUCAUGUUGUCUGCACAUGUACUUUCUUUGGAGACUCCAUUUGCCUCCUGACAAAUCGGAAAAUGAUCAAGACAGUAACUCUGAUUGAUUGAUUUACGAAUAGUAUUGACAUG